CACCUGAGGCCUAAGAAGCAACUCCCUCAAUGCUCCACAAAAGGCUGAGACCCUUCUUCAUGACAGAGUUCCACAGAGAACUGAAAUGGAUCAACUUCCCCACCCGGUGAUCCAGUGUUGUUUGAAGUUGUAUGGGUGUCCCAUCUAGCAUCAACUCACAUUUCAAAAAACUCCAGCUUAAGAGAUGGUGACAAACUCUUGGGCCUCCCAGGCUGGUUUCAUAUCACCUUGCUGUUUAAAUACAGCCCUUGGACCACCACCAGCAGCAUCUGGAAACUGAGAUCCAACUUAUACCAGGAAGGAAAACUAAAGAGGCUCAAACAAAACCACCAACAUCCCCGGGCAAACAGCUGUGCAACUUGGAAAUCAAUUCAUGCUCAUCAUUCUCCCCCAAUUAUCAGCAUCUUCAAAAUCAUCAUUGCCAUCAACUUUAUCAUCAUUAAUAUGAAUAUCAGCAUUGACACCAGCUGGAGAUACUAUUAUUAUUAUUAUCACCACGAAAAUUGUCUCCACCAAUCUUUGUCAUUGCCAACAUGAAUAUUACCAGCAACUUUUUCCACUAUGAACAAUAUAUGAUCUGCAUAGCUGAGGGCAUCGAGAGUGUUAUCGCCAUUAUCUUUCAUCUUUUUUUUUUUUGAGACGGAGUCUUGCUCUGUCGCCAGGGCUGGAGUGCAGUGGCGUGAUCUCGGCUCACUGCAACCUCUACCUCCUGGGUUCACGCCAUUCUCCUCCCUCAGCCUCCCAAGUAGCUGGGACUACAGGCGCCUGCCACCACGCCCAGCUAAUUCUUUUUGUAUUUUUAGUAGAGAUGGGGUUUCACCAUGUUAGCCAGGAUGGUCUCCAUCUCCUGACCUUGCGAUCCGCCCACCUCGGCCUCCCAAAGUGAUGGGAUUAAAGGCGUGAGCCACUGCGCCCGGCCAUCGCCAUCAUCAUUUUUAACAGAGUAACAAAUUUAACAUGUGUCUACUGGGUAGUGCAAAAAUGUAGAAAAAAGAUUCAGCGUUUUCAUAUAUGAAAUUUUGAUGUAGCUGUGUAGACAUAGCUGUGUAGACAAGAUAAUUGACAAUAU
rnacentral:lncRNA from 1 species